rnacentral:tRNA from 1 species
GCCCCUGUAGUGUAGUCGACAACACGAGAGCUUGCGGAGCUUUUAACCCGAGUUCAAAUCUCGGCAGGGGCA